UACGUAGGGGCCUAGCGUUGUCCGGAAUUAUUGGGCGUAAAGAGCUCGUAGGCGGUCUGCCACGUCCGCUGUGAAAACCUAGGGCUUAACCCUGGGCUUGCAGUAGAUACGGGCAGACUAGAGGUAGGUAGGGGAGAAUGGAAUUCCCGGUGUAGCGGUGAAAUGCGCAGAUAUCGGGAGGAACACCGGUGGCGAAGGCGGUUCUCUGGGCCUUACCUGACGCUGAGGAGCGAAAGCGUGGGGAGCAAACAGG
rnacentral:rRNA from 1 species